rnacentral:misc_RNA from 1 species
UUCUUGACUUGCUCUUCAUGGCGGGCUCUCCGCGCUUUGGCGCGGCCAACCGACAUGGGGCUGUCUCUUCACUCUCCCUCCCGUCAGCAGAUCUGCCCGGGUUGGGAUGCUUGCAUCGGUUGCCUGUGUGGUUCUACCCUACUGUGGGUAGCGAAGUCGUCCCUUGAUGGAUAUCUGCUUGCCCUGCUGACAUUGUUCUGUCGCUCGGGCAGCCGAAAUGUCGGUGAGAUCCCUGUGAUGUUGCGUGGGCGAAUGCCUCGUUACCGUCACUUGGAUUUUUGCCGGCUCUCACGGAUGCUGUGCCCCAUUGUUAGCUCUGCGGGCCUCUGUCCCGCAGACUUCGGGAGGUCCCUUGCACGGAUCACUGCCCUUGCGCUCGAUCGUCAGAUCUGUGCGUGAGGGGCGUGCUGACGUGCAUGUGGAACGCCUCUCCGAUCGUAUGAGCAGCGAUUGCCGGUCCGCGUCAUGAGAAGCGCCUCCCGUCCGGGUGGGUGCUGCAAAUGACGCGGCGGCUAUCGUUUAAGACGUGC